AAAAUGGUGAGAAGGUUGAGGGAAGUUCAGGACAGGGCUCUGGGGACCCCCGGGGUCCGUCCUGUG
rnacentral:pre_miRNA from 1 species